rnacentral:rRNA from 1 species
AUUGAACGCUGGCGCCAGGCCUAACACAUGCAAGUCUAGCGGAGCGCCGGACGGGUGAGUAAUGCCUAGUAAUCUGCCUGGUAGUGGGGUAUAACGUCCGGAAACGGGCGCUAAUACCGCAUACUAUCAGAUGAGCCUAGGUCGGAUCAGCUAGUGGGGUGGCUAAAGGCCUACCAAGACGACGACGCGUAACUGGUCUGAGAGGAUGAUCAGUCACACUGGAACUGAGACACGGGCCAGACUCCUACGGGAGGCAGCAGUGGGGAAUAUUGGACAAGGGGCGAAAGGCUGAUCCAGCAAUGCCGCGUGUGUGAAGAAGGUCUUCGGAUUGUAAAGCACUUUAAGUUGGGAGGCGUUACCAACAGAAUAAGCACCGGCUAACUUCGUGCCAGCAGCCGCGGUAAUUC